rnacentral:rRNA from 1 species
AUGAACGCUGGCGGCAGGCCUAAAACAUGCAAGUCGAACGCUUGUAGCAAUACAAGAGUGGCGCACGGGUGCGUAACAUGUGGGAAUAUGCCUUUUGGUACGGAACAACUCCGGGAAACUGGAGCUAAUACCGUAUGGUCCCUUCGGGGUAAAGAUUUAUCGCCAAAAGAUUAGCCCGCACUGGAUUAGCUAGUUGGUGAGGUAAUGGCUCACCAAGGCGACGAUCCAUAGCUGGUCUGAGAGGACGAUCAGCCACACUGGGACUGAGACACGGCCCAGACUCCUACGGGAGGCAGCAGUUAGGAAUAUUGGACAAUGGGCGCAAGCCUGAUCCAGCCAUGCCGCGUGAGUGAUGAAGGCCUUCGGGUUGUAAAGCUCUUUAGUCCACGAAUAUAAUGACUGUAGUGGAAGAAUAAGCCCCGGCUAACUUCGU